GCUUGCUGGGGGGAUUAGUGGCGAACGGGUGAGUAACACGUGAGUAACCUGCCCUUGACUCUGGGAUAAGCCUGGGAAACUGGGUCUAAUACCGGAUAUGACUCCUCAUCGCAUGGUGGGGGGUGGAAAGCUUUUGUGGUUUUGGAUGGACUCGCGGCCUAUCAGCUUGUUGGUGGGGUAAUGGCCUACCAAGGCGACGACGGGUAGCCGGCCUGAGAGGGUGACCGGCCACACUGGGACUGAGACACGGCCCAGACUCCUACGGGAGGCAGCAGUGGGGAAUAUUGCACAAUGGGCGGAAGCCUGAUGCAGCGACGCCGCGUGAGGGAUGACGGCCUUCGGGUUGUAAACCUCUUUCAGUAGGGAAGAAGCCGCCAGGUGACGGUACCUGCAGAAGAAGCGCCGGCUAACUACGUGCCAGCAGCCGCGGUAAUACGUAGGGCGCAAGCGUUAUCCGGAAUGAUUGGGCGUAAA
rnacentral:rRNA from 1 species